rnacentral:rRNA from 1 species
CAACCGCCGCGGGAAUACGUAGGUGGCAAGCGUUGUCCGGAAUUAUUGGGCGUAAAGCGAGCGCAGGCGGUUAGAUAAGUCUGAAGUUAAAGGCUGUGGCUCAACCAUAGUUCGCUUUGGAAACUGUCAAACUUGAGUGCAGAAGGGGAGAGUGGAAUUCCAUGUGUAGCGGUGAAAUGCGUAGAGAUGUGGAGGAACACCAGUGGCGAAGGCGACUCUCUGGUCUGUAACUGACGCUGAGGAGCGAAAGCGUGGGGAGCGAACAGGAUUAGAGACCCGCGUAGUCCCUGUCUCUUAUACA